rnacentral:rRNA from 1 species
GCCGUUUUUAGUUGGUGGAGUGGUCUGUCAGGUUGAUUCCGGUAACGAACGAGACUCCAACCUGCUAAAUAGAAAAGGCGGGGGUCGCGCCGAGCCGGCGGUCCAACCCUGUUCGCGUGGCCCUGUCGGGUGUCUUUCUCUUCCUUCUUCUCGGMGCCCUCUUCCGUUCGGCCUCUCUUUCGGGGGUGGCCGCGACGGUUGCAGGUGUCGUCGGGGGUCGGGGAGGCCCCUUCAACGUGCCCGUAGCGGGUCGCCGUCCGCGUCUCGGCCGUGCCCUCGCACCUCUUCUUAGAGGGAUAGUCGAGAGAGAAAACUCGAAUGAAAGGUGGAGCAAUAACAGGUCUGUGAUGCCCUCAGAUGUCCUGGGCCGCACGCGCGCUACAAUGGGCGCAUCAGCGAGUGUCCUGCCCGAAAGGGUCGGGUAACCCGUUGAAACGCGUUCGUAGUUGGGAUCGGGGAUUGCAAUUAUUCCCCGUGAACCCGGAAUUCCCAGUAGGCGCCGGUCAUCAGCCGGCGCCGAUUAAGUCCCUGCCUCUUGUACACACCGCCCGUCGCUACUACCGAUUGAACGGUCUAGUGAGGUCUUCCGACCGUCGCCCGCUCGCCACUGUGCAGGCGUAGGAGCGGCGGAAAGUUGCCCGAACUUGGUCGUUUAGAGGAAGUAAAAGUCGUAACAAGGUUUCCGUAGGUGAACCGUCGGAAGGAUCA